rnacentral:rRNA from 1 species
UACGAAGGGGGCUAGCGUUGCUCGGAAUCACUGGGCGUAAAGGGUGCGUAGGCGGGUCUUUUAAGUCAGGGGUGAAAUCCUGGAGCUCAACUCCAGAACUGCCUUUGAUACUGAAGAUCUUGAGUUCGGGGAGAGGUGAGUGGAACUGCGAGUGUAGAGGUGAAAUUCGUAGAUAUUCGCAAGAACACCAGUGGCGAAGGCGGCUCACUGGCCCGAUACUGACGCUGAGGCACGAAAGCGUGGGGAGCAAACAGG